UGCUUCAGGAAUACGGUAUGGGGGUUGUCGUAGUGGGUUCUGUCCGGGUGUCUCGACCUUGUGUACAGCUAGGGUAGUGUACCCGGGUUCUUGGGAGAACGUCGCCUGUUUCUCCCACAGUAACUGUCUCGCCUGUACCUUCUCUGCCGGGUUUAGCCGGUCCCCUAGCUGUACAAGACUAGUAAGGUCUGUCUGGGGGUCCCUCUCUAGCAAGUCAGGUAACGGUAAGUUCUCGGGAUCGUCAGAAGCUGGGGCACAUACUGCUGCAACAUCCUCUGGUCGUUCUUGAUACUCCUUCAGCAUGUUCACAUGGAAGGAUCGCUGAAUCCUUUCAUCUGAACAGCUGGCUAUAAGGUAGGUAGUAUCACAUACCUGAGCUAACACUUUAUACGGGCCCUGCCAAGAUGCU